rnacentral:lncRNA from 1 species
AGGGAAAUGAAGAAAACAAAGAGUGCGAGAAAGAGAGAGGGAGAUAAUUGCGAGAGGCGAGUGAUCGGAGGCGAGUGCGGGAGGCGAUUGAUCAGAAGUUUCUAGAACAGGUGAGGUCGCGGUAGAUUUGGUGAGAGAAAAGAGUAUGAAAGCAAGAGGUAAGAAGAAUUUGGAGUUUCAAAACUGAUUUAUGGCAAGGUAUCUU